UAGCCUAGUGGUAAGGCUUUGGACUGCUAAUCCGGAGACGGUGGGUUCAAUUCCCGU
rnacentral:tRNA from 1 species